rnacentral:pre_miRNA from 1 species
GUUAUACUCCCUCCGUCCGAAAAUACUUGUUAUCAAAAUGAAUAAAAAGUGAUGUAUCUAGAUAUAUUUUAGUUCGAGAUACAUCUUUUUUUAUCCAUUUUGAUGACAAGUAUUUCUGAACGGAGGGAGUACAAU